UACGAACUGUGCGAACGUUAUUCGGAAUCACUGGGCUUACAGGGUGCGUAGGCGGCUUGUUAAGUAGGGUGUGAAAGCCCCCGGCUCAACCGGGGAAUUGCGCCCUAAACUGCCGAGCUGGAGUGAGAUAGGGGUGUGUGGAACUUCCGGUGGAGCGGUGAAAUGCGUAGAGAUCGGAAGGAACGUCGAUGGCGAGGGCAGCCCCCUGGGCCAACACUGACGCUCAGGCACGAAAGCGUGGGGAGCAAACAGG
rnacentral:rRNA from 1 species